CCUACGGGUGGCUGCAGUGGGGAAUAUUGGACAAUGGGGGCAACCCUGAUCCAGCCAUGCCGCGUGUGUGAAGAAGGCCCUCGGGUUGUAAAGCACUUUCAGUGAGGAAGAACGCCUGGUGGUUAAUACCCAUCAGGAAAGACAUCACUCACAGAAGAAGCACCGGCUAACUCCGUGCCAGCAGCCGCGGUAAUACGGAGGGUGCGAGCGUUAAUCGGAAUUACUGGGCGUAAAGCGCGCGUAGGUGGCUUGAUAAGCCGGUUGUGAAAGCCCCGGGCUCAACCUGGGAACGGCAUCCGGAACUGGCAAGCUAGAGUUCGGGAGAGGAUGGUAGAAUUCCCGGUGUAGCGGUGAAAUGCGUAGAGAUCGGGAGGAAUACCAGUGGCGAAGGCGGCCUUCUGGACUGACACUGACGCUGAGGUGCGAAAGCGUGGGUAGCAAACAGGAUUAGAUACCCCAGUAGUC
rnacentral:rRNA from 1 species